AUGUUGAUUCAAUGCAAACUGAGGAUGCACAAUUCGCUGGUACGGGUAUGCUUGAUAGAGAAGGUUGACGAAUGCGGUGACUGUUGCAGAAAGAGGAUGAUGAUGCACUUGAAGAUUGUGGAGAAAAUCCAAAUAUUAGAAGUUGAGAGAAGAGAGAUAUUUUUUGUGAGUUUUUCUUGGUGUGAUUCUUCUAUGAAUCGUGAAGAAUCAAGGUGA